ACAAACUUGGUCAUUUAGAGGAAGUAAAAGUCGUAACAAGGUUUCCGUAGGUGAACCUGCGGAAGGAUCAUCAUUGAAUAUAAAAAAAAUAUCAAGCCUUUGGGGGGAGAGAAAUUUUCUUCUGGGGGUUUGCAAACAACUUUAAUACCCAAAAGGAUAAUCUUUCUUUGGUUUCAGCUUGAGCUCAUUUGUUUGGGUUUGGGUUGAUGGCUGGAGAAGAAAAGAGUAACGAGGGGGGACCCUCUGAACUCUGGAAAUUUAACAUGCGUUUGCCUGAAAAAAGUGUUUGGUUUAUUUGGGAAUGUGAAACAACUUUCAACAACGGAUCUCUUGGCUCUCACAUCGAUGAAGAACGCAGC
rnacentral:misc_RNA from 1 species